GUCUGAGCCGUCAGAUCUUCACCUCCUGAUAAAUUUUGUUUUCACCCUGCGGUUGUUUUUCCUGCCCAAUGACGGGUGGGCUCGUCUCGCCCUCGUAUUGGCUGGGUCAGCCGCGCUCGUGUGCGAGAGGGAUUCGCCACACAGCCCCGCGCGCGCCGCACCGCGUCUCGUCUCAAGUGGCGCAGGUCCCCAACCCCCACGGCCCCACCACACAAACCCUAGCCUCCCACGCCCCGCAGCGCCGCACUCUCUCCUCCUCCUCCGUCCUUCCUCGUCAGCCGCCGCCGCUGCUGUUCCGCCUCGCUCCUCUCUGUCCGACGACCACGCCACCGCGAGGAAGCCGCCGCGCAAGGGGGACGGCCGCCACCGUGAGCCAGGAGAUGCCCGUUGGCAAGCCUCUGGGCAGGAAGCCGACGCGGAGGACGCAACAAGCCGCCAGGGUCUUCUCGCUAGAAGGUGGAGGAGUAGAGGAUCCCGCCGGAUCCGAGGCGUGCGGCGCGGCGGUGAGCGUCUCCGGCGGCGGCCUGCGGGCAAAGGGUGACGGCUGGGGUGCUCGAUUCGAUCCAGCGCCAGGAAGGGAGGUAGAGGAACGACGGGGAAGGGGAUGGGCAGGAACUUCAUGCAUUGAAUCCAGUCGCCCCGGGCCGUGCCUACAUGAGCAGCGCCGCGGCUUGAUGCUUCCCCGCCCGACGAGGACGGCAAGCUAGGUGUUGACAAUGGCAGCCUCAGGCCAUCCGAUCUGUCACCGCCGCCGUUCUUUUGGUCGAGGCCGCCGUCGUCCACGUGCUCCUCGUCACCCCCACGGCUGGACGCUGGCGAGGCCAGCCUCCCCUCCAAGCGCGGGUACUUUCCCGCUCCUUUCCGUGCUCUCUCUCUUCCCCUGAUAUAUAUCUCUGUUGUACAGGGAAGCAAAUUUGUUCAAUUCUCAGUCUAGAUUUAAUGAAGAAAACUGCGGUUCAUACAACGCCAAUGGAUAUGGAUCCAUCUUGCUGCGCUGGAUAUGGAUCCAUCUUGCUGAUUUGGAAGAAAACUGCAGUUCAUACAAUGCUAAUUAUGGAUAUGGAUCCAUCUAAUACAGUUCUUCACAAAGCCCAAGAAUUGCAAGGGUUCAAUUGCUUUCGGGGUCAUACUUUUCCUGGUCCUUAUUGGCUGGCCUGUCUUCGGCAUGAUGGCAGAGUCGUAUGGCUUUGCCCUGCUAUUCUGGUUAUCCUCUAUUGUGCAUUAAUAUGAUCUUCUGAUGUCUGUUUUUCAGUGUGCAUUAAGAAAUUGUAGAAACUUUUGGGUAUUGUAUCUGACUGGUACUGAAUUUCCUCACAGCAGCUUCUGGCCCGCUGCUGUUGUUUACCUGCAAAAAAACCCCACCAUCGGUUGGAUUUUCCAGCACCCUUAUGUGAUAGCAUAUGGAUGACAACUUCCUCUCAUACCUCUUUUGGCCUAUUGAGGAACUGGACAUGAUUUAUAUAGCGAAGUUAAGUGUAUGGAUGACAACUUGCUCUCAUACAUGUUAUCUGUAUAUUUUAUAUACAUGGCUUUUGCGUUCUGUCAUGUGCGUUCCUGCUGCAGACUUUUGUAGGAAAUUCACCAUGGGAAUUUAAAUAAUGGUUCCCUGCCCAUUAGUUUACUUUCUUGCAUUUUAUAGGCCACACUUUUCCUAUUUUGUUAAAGAAGUGAACUCAUUCCUAAACUUCCACCGUAUAAACAUUAACACUGGGAUACUGUACCAACCCAGCAAUACUAAAAAACUAUGAAUUGUCUGUCAGUGUAAUACUAUAUCCCACUGAUGAUGCUUCUAUGUAACACGUUUAUCUAUUUGGUUGCAUGCCUUGAAGGAGUAGUAUAUUGAGCACCCUGAGAUAAUCAUCGAGAAGUUUGGCGGAAUUUUAAAUGAUUUAUUAAGCGACCUUUUAUGAUUGACCAUUGUACGAGAGCAAGUUUUAGUACUACUUGAGCGAGUUAGAAUGUAUAUAUUUUCAACUAAAACCAAUUUUUUCAAAAGGAAAAAUAAUUUCUGCAUGAUCACAUAUCAUGAUCAUCUCCAUGAAGAAUGCUUUAGACAGUACAAUAAUGAAAAUAAGCAUUUUUGGCCUUCGAAACAUAUACUGUUGUUGGGACAUCUAAUUGGACCUUUCUAUGUAGAAAAUGAGAAGUGUUAAGUGUACAGAAACCUGCACUUCAUAUUUCUUACAUGCGUGAUUAUCAUCCACGAUACUCUUUUAUAUUGCUUACUUGCGUGAUUUGCCUGACUGCCAAUAGAAAUAUUUAUGUUAGCAUGUCAGUUUGCUAACUUAAUACCUUCCAUCUUAUACAUUGAUAAUGCUUUGAAGACACCGACAAGAAUAACUAAAUUAAAUUGUGCCUGAACAUGUCAAUUGCAAUGACAGGUUCUCACCUUUCAACGAAGGAUCUCAUUUUAAAUCCUAAUUUUGGAUGUCUAGGUGGUUGGCUGAUGGAGAGUGUUGCACUGCUGCUUAUUUAAUGAUCAGUAGUGCAGCUCACGAUUUGAUUUAAUUAGUGUUUUCGUAGUGAAAAUAUGAAGACAAAUUUUCUAAACAACUUUAGGAUAUCUUCGAAAGAAUGUGCUAGAUUUUGGUCCUAUUAUAUUUUCUCAAUUCCUAUGUCAUCUCUCACAUGGCUAUGUGGUCUCCCCGGUUUUGUCUUUACGUUAUAUCUAUGUUGUACUACUGCUACCCCCGCGCUACAGAAAGUAUUUUUUAUAUCAGCUUUGCUCUCGUGUGUGCAAGGAUUCCAUUCAGGUAUGAAAAACACCACCCCUCAUGAAGUUACUUCUUUUCAGAGAGAGAAUGAUCAUUGGUUUUUAUAUGGAUUCAGUGCACAUAAAUAAUUAGCUCGCAUUUUAAGUUUGGAUUUAGAAUUAGCUUUCCAGUUCUGUACAUGUUUUCCUUGCUGAUGAUGGAUUUCUUCUUCUAAGAUGAAUUGGUAACUUUAGCACCAAAUAUGAAGUUAUUUGGACAAAGAAAAGCUUCCUUCCUCUUUGCUAUUUUCUCUCUUCAGUGUUGCUUUUUUUUAGAACACUCUUUAGCGUUGCUUUGAUGUUCCUUUGUCACUGUUUGAUAUUCUGCCUUGUGUGCCUCUGUCUUGGUUUACAGCUCCAUAUGGCUACCUAUGUAUAUAUAUAUAUAUAUAUAUAUAUAGGUUUUGUUUGAACUGUACUCAAACCGUGCAGAUGUUUCCAUAUUCUUGCCUUCAUCUUUUUAACUCGUGACAUUGUUAGAUAGUUAAAUACCAUUGGCCUCUGUCGGCAUUCUAUUUUUGCAGUUUGAAAUGAGUAUUGGUCCAUUGAUAUUAAACUUCACAAUAGGUGGUGGCAUCUCCAGGAAAAAGUAGUGGCAGAUAUGCUGGACAUUUCUUUUCUGCUGUCCUCAACACAUUCUUUAGUAACGGAGAGGAUUACUCACCUUUGGUGCUGCAGGCGUUCAAGACCCAGGGCUGGGCCAACCGGCCCUUUGUGUUUGAAGAUCCCUGACACCCCAUGCUACCAGCCGGGCAUCUUCUUCCUGAGCCAUGUCCGGAACCAGAGCAGCAGGGGCACCCUGAGCGAGUACUCGAGGCAUGUUGUCAGGUCGGAGGGGUACAACCAGGCCAGCUGCCGUGUGUGUCCACGGUUCAUACAGUCAAGGUGUUCGCUCAUCUCCCAAGAUGAGCCAGAACGAGCAUGACAAGAGGAACCCCCCAUAUUUUUCAUUCCUUGAUAAAUGGUGUUGUAUGUUGGUUAAAGACUGUUUUUCUUCUCCAAUUAUGAAACCUCACAACAGCAAGAUAUAACAUUUUUGUUUGUUUUGCAAUCAAAGCUUCCAUCGAAUAAUUUAUUAGAAUUAUGAUCCAUCUUA